rnacentral:rRNA from 1 species
UACGUAGGGUGCAAGCGUUGUCCGGAAUCGUUGGGCGUAAAGAGCGUGUAGGCGGCCCGAUAAGUCCGCUGUGAAAGUCCAGGGCUCAACCCUGGAAUGCCAGUGGAAACUGUCGGGCUAGAGUCCGGAAGAGGCGAGUGGAAUUCCUGGUGUAGCGGUGAAAUGCGCAGAUAUCAGGAGGAACACCAAUGGCGAAGGCAGCUCGCGGGGACGGUUACUGACGCUGAGACGCGAAAGCGUGGGGAGCAAACAGG